CGCCUCUUGGUAACAUAAGAGGUCCUGCCUGCCCGGUGAUAAUAUUUAACGGCCGCGGUACCCUGACCGCGCGAAGGUAGCAUAAUCACUUGUUCUUUAAAUAGGGACUCGUAUCAACGGCAUCACGAGGGUUGCACUGUCUCCCCCCUCCAAUCAGUGAAACUGAUCUCCCCAUGAAAAAGCGGGGAUAAUAAUAUAAGACGAGAAGACCCCAUGGAGCUUUAAACCCAAUAGCAAAUUAGCAAAGCCAUAAAAUUAUGCUAACGGCUUUAGGUUGGGGCGACCACGGAGUAAAAAUUAACCUCCACAACGAAAAGACUUAAAUCUUUACCCAAGAGCUACCACUCCAAGAAUUAGUAAACUAACGAAUUGACCCGAUAUCGAUCAAUGAACCAAGUUACCCUGGGGAUAACAGCGCAAUCUACUUCGAGAGUUCAUAUCGACAAGUAGGCUUACGACCUCGAUGUUGGAUCAGGAUAUCCCAGUGGUGCAGCCGCUACUAAAGGUUCGUUUGUUCAACGAUUAAAACCCU
rnacentral:rRNA from 1 species